rnacentral:lncRNA from 1 species
CCUCGAACCGGCCAAAAUCCUAGCUCGCCUUGCGCUUUCCUCGCAAAUCGACCUCCUCGAGUAUGGAAUCUGAUCAAAUCACAAGGAAUAUUUUAUAAUAAGCUAAUGGGACAUAAUCCAAUAGAAGGAACUCUAAAAACACCCAAAAACACGAUGUUGGAAAAACCCGAGCCCCGGGCCCACUUCUCAAAAAAUUACAAAAUUCACAUCACUGGAAUCCUUAUCUCGCCAAGAGUCCGCACAUAUCAAAUUUAGAAGAAUUGGAGUCCAUUUGACCCCUCAAAUUAACACUUUAAGCUCAUUUGGGUUUCAAACUCUAACCACCAUUUUUAACUUCAAAAACCUUGUAUUCUUUGUGUUUAAUCCAUGUUUUUACACCAUAAUGACAUAUUCUAGGUUCAAUAAUCCAUACCUGAUGUUUUCCUCCAAAAUCCUCUUCAAAAUUUCUCCCAAAUUUGCGUUAGUCCGAGGUCCAAAUGUUCUUCUCUUUUUUUAAACUUGCAAAAUUACUGUUCAUUAAACCCUGCUCGAUUUCCGCUUACGCUCCAACUUACCGCUCCUGCGGUCUCCACUUUUGCGGCCACACGACCGCUUACGCGGUCCAACUUAAAUCCCAUAACCCACUUCUGCUGUCAAACUAACGCCUCAGCGAUAACCGCCUAUGCGGUCUACUUUCUGCUUCCGCGAUCCAAGCCUUUCCUCAAGUUUCUCUUUUCCGGCUCAUCCGCCGCUUCUGCGGUCACCGCUUUAGCGGCUUCCCUUCUGGAGAAGCGGAAAUACCAGAAGCCAUCUACUGUUUUCAUGCAACAAACGCCCAAAACCUCUGAUCAACCAUCCAGAAAUACCCCAAGGCCCCGGGGACCCCAACCAAACCCACCAACCUAUUCCAAAACAUCAUACGAACAUGUUCCAAUCAUAAAAACACAACCUUUGACACAAAAAUCAUCAAAUCACGACGGAUUCAAGCCUAAGUUCAACUAUAACUUUCGAAACUCACAUUCGAUCAAAAACCCGACCAAACAAUGUCCGAUUGACUUGAAAAUUUGCAGAAAAAUCCAAAAUCACCUAACGAAGCUACAAAAACACUCAUAAUUCCAUUCAGAACCCUGGAUCAAAAUCUCACCUAUUAACAAAAUUUGCCAAAAUUCAAACUUAGCCAAUUCAAGCCUAAUUCUGCACCAGACCUCCAAAUUCAGUUCCGUUUUCACUCCCAAGUCAUAAAUCACCACCCGAAACUAGUUGAAUCAUCAAAAAGUCAUUCCGAGCCCUAUAACUUAUAAGUCAAUAUCCGGUUGACUUUUCCAAACUAGCUUUCUCUUAAAGAGACUAAUUUUCUCAAUUCCAAUCAAACUCUGACCGAAUCACUUCAAACUCCAUAAACACAUAUGAUGAAAUAUAAAGAAGCAUAAAACGGGGGGAAUGGGGCAUUAACACACGUGACGAAGGGCCGGGUCAUCACAAGAUUCUGGGUUCGUUCCCCAGCACAGUCACCAUAGCUAUCACGCCUCCUUUUUACUACCCCCGGAAAGGGUAUAAGGAAGAGUUUUUCAAUUAAAGUGAUAAUGGAAACAUGAUUAUUUUUAUUAAAUUCAGAGUCUCCACUUGGGAUAUUUUAUGGUGUCCCAAGUCACCGGUUUAAAUCCCGUAUUGAGGAAAGAUUAACUCUGUUUUAUAGUUCGCGAAGCAAAGAAAUUCAGGCAAGGAAUUCUAUUAACCCGGGAGAAGGUCUUUGGCAUUCCUGAGUUCCGUGAUUUUAGCACGGUUGCUCAACUGUUAUUAUUGACCUAUUUAUCUGAUUACAUCUUUGAAACCUAUGUGCAUUUUUAUUCCGUUUGCACCUUUUUUAAUAAUCCACAUGUUAUACAACUUAUUACUGAUUACACGUUUGCGAGUCAUGACACGGAAACCGUACCACGAUCCACAACGUGUCUAUUUUAUUAAAAGAAAUUAAAGUGUGGCCGGGGUUACAUAAAUGUACCCCCGAAUUUUAGAAAUUAAGCAUCACAAUUACAUCAUGGGAACCGUACCUGUAGCUAUGAUAAUUAUUUAAUUAACGCGCCUAAAGCAAACUACAAAAGUUCAAAGCAUUUUCUAACACUAGUUAAGAUAUCAAUGUGAGGGCAAUAGACUAGGUGAUUGGAUGGCACAUCUCAAUUUAUUAAAGGAAAAGCAAUUAGUUAAACUACAGAUAUUCAUAUUUACAACUUAUUAAUUUAGGUAUCACAACCACGCCACAGGAAUCGUACCCGUAGUUAUAAUUAUUAAAGUACGUGCCUAAAAUAAAAUACGAAUGUUUAUUAAUAAGACUUUUAAGCCCAAAUCCCCACAGACCAAUUCAAUAUCAAAAAAAUAUCUUUAUAUUUUUUUUAUCCAAACCAUACUGUUAGAGACAUACGGUGCCAUACCAUGAUGGAUGCCUUAUGUUCAACUAAUAAAUGAAAGGCACAACAGUUAUUUGCAUUUUUUCAAUAAACAAGUCAUUUAUGUCUGGGCAACUUGGUGGACAACACCCAUCCCCUGGUGUUGUUCUUUUUCUACUCCUUUAUUUCAAAACCAAAAGGCCAAUUUAAAAUGUUCAGCAUCACAAAAGAGUUCAUACCAGAAUUCAGUAGAUAUAAGGACGGUUUAACAACUAAUAAACUCUAUCAAGGGCUGAGAUUCACAAACUGCAGCAACAAAUUAAUAACAAAUUUCAGCUCAAUACUCGGAAAUCAAGCUAAGCACGCUAGUCGAAUUCAUUCAAAUCAAUUAACUCAAAACGAUUCAGUCCAGGUUCAACAAUAACUCAAACAUUUUCAAAUAUUUUAGCACAUAUGGACCUUAAGCACAUCACAACCACUCUAUUGACCACAACCUAGUAUGCUUCGCAAAUUCGAUACAUCUGUAAUUCCCUGCCCGAAUUUGACGAUAGUGAUAUAAGCUAAACAUGUUUAAAUCUUCUAACAUACAAUUACUCGGAAAAGGAUUCAAUCAUAUACAAAUGUAUCAAAAUUUCAUGGAGAGGAACAAAAGACAUGGUUCAUAUUAUGUCCAAGUAAAACUUGAAUUCAUAGUUGAAUACAUGGUUGGGCAAGAAAAAAUUGAAAGAGACAAAGAAAAAACACAACAAAGAGGGCUAAAGUUUAGCAAACAUGAGUAGAAAUUAGAGUGGAACCUCGAGCAACAGCUGGGAACUCGAUUCGGCACCAUGAAUCUCGAAUCGAACACGAACUGAAACCCAAAUCUCAGUCAAAUUCCAUUUUUAGGACAAAUAAACCUAGCCAAAAAUCCUUUCCCUCCAUUCUGGUUUUUUUCCAUUCUCUCUGCUCUGUGUGUGUUCAAUGACUAGUCGUGAAUGGUCGACUAGACCCACCGGUAAUCAAAUCCGAUGACUGGUGAUGGAAGCUUAGGGAGUUCGAUCUUCUGCUUCGGAGAUAGUGGUAUGGAUGUGGCCCUGGAGAAAUUGAGGGUGGUUAUUUGGCGAGGAGGUCUAAAGAUGCUGGUCUUGGAGAGGAGGGGUCUCGAUGGGUUUUCAAAAUGAAGAAGAAGGAAGAAAAAGCUGAUGGGUCUCUUUGUGUGAAGAAUGGCACUCCUUAGGCAUAAUUUUUGUGUGUGUAUUUUACAUCUGUUCUAGCUGAUUAGGCGUUACCC